GAUGAAGAACGCAGCGAAGUGCGAUAAGUAAUGUGAAUUGCAGAAUUCAGUGAAUCAUCGAAUCUUUGAACGCACAUUGCGCCCGUCAGUAUUCUGGCGGGCAUGCCUGUUCGAGCGUCAUUACGCCCCUCAAGUCCCCUGUGGACUUGGUGUUGGGGAUCGGCGAGGCUGGUUUUCCAGCACAGCCGUCCCUUAAAUUAAUUGGCGGUCUCGCCGUGGCCCUCCUCUGCGCAGUAGUAAAACACUCGCAACAGGAGCCCGGCGCGGUCCACUGCCGUAAAACCCCCCAACUUUUUAUAGUUGACCUCGAAUCAGGUAGGACUACCCGCUGAACUUAAGCAUAUCAAUAAGCGGAGGA
rnacentral:misc_RNA from 1 species